AUGUAGGACAAUCUGUCUUUAAGUAGGGGUAAAUUACUCUAAAAGAAAUGAAACCUAGUUUCCCCUUCAAGUGUCAUAUUGU
rnacentral:pre_miRNA from 1 species